CACGUAGGGACCAAGCGUUGUUCGGAUUCAUUGGGCGUAAAGGGUGCGUAGGCCGCACGGAAAGUCAGAGGUGAAAUCCCGGAGCUCAACUUCGGAAUUGCCUCCGAUACUCCCGUGCUUGAGGACUGGAGAGGAGUCUGGAAUUCACAGUGGAGCAGUGAAAUGCGUAGAUAUUGUGAGGAACACUAGUGGCGAAGGCGAGACUCUGGACAGUUCCUGACGCUGAGGCACGAAGGCCAGGGGAGCAAACGGG
rnacentral:rRNA from 1 species